AAAUUUGCCUUUCCUGCAAUACUGAGCCAAGGAAAGCACAUGAAAUCUAAAUUAUAUACAAAUUUCAAACAACUGCAUCAAUCAAAUUUAGCUAGUUCCCGUUCCCAUUGGCUUCUCUUACUCCAUAGCAUAAUUUCAAUGUAAAUCAUUUAUAAAAGAAAUAAAUUCUAAAAAAUUGGUAAUAAUAUGUCUAAAUCUUUUUUGAGCCUACACUAAUAGAAAAAGA
rnacentral:misc_RNA from 1 species